rnacentral:lncRNA from 1 species
UCUGCUUCUUUUUUCACUGCAUAAUGUUUGUCCUUAUGUAUGCAUAGAGAUAGCAGCUAUAUAUGAGAAGAACUACAUUGGAUAUGUUGUUGUCGCUCUAGUUAUCUAGAAAAUAAGGUAGGUAUCCAUUCCUGCCGUGACAUGUUAAUUUCAAAAUUAUUUACACUGUCAAUGUAUAUUAGCUAUAUCCUCCAGAUUGGUCAUACCAUAGUCUUUAUUAAUUAAUUAAUUGAAAUAUAAACUAUAUAAUGCAGGCAACAUUUUGUGAACAGGUGGAUAUGGGGUGCCUCAGAUCCUAGGUACAUAUCAGAUGUUGACAUCAAUUGGGAGGAAGUAUCUCAAGUUUUAGAACAAUUGCCUGAAAAGAAAGUUGUUGAGAACAUAGGUCUUCUUAACUUCGACCAAGAUGAAAUCAUUGAAUGGAGACAAGUUGUUCCUGGUGCCAACCAAACAGUCCUUCACCUUGACUAUGCUGAAAAAAACAUAACAUGGGAAACAUUGUACCCUGAGUGGAUUGAUGAAGAACAAGAAAAUGAUGUUCCAAGUUGUCCUUCUUUGCCAAAACUAGAAGUUCCUAGGAAUCGUAUCGAUCUCAUAGCAGUCAAGUUACCAUGUAGAAAUGAAGGGAAUUGGUCUAGAGAUGUUGCGCGAUUGCACUUGCAACUUGCUGCUGGUGGUUUAGCUUCCUCUGCUAAGGGUAAACAUCUUGUGCAUUUGCUUUUCAUAACCAAAUGCUUCCCUAUACCAAAUCUUUAUGGUUGCAACGAGCUCGUUGCUAGAAAAGGUAACGCGUGGUUGUACAAGCCGGAUUUGAGUGUUCUAAGACGAAAACUUCAACUUCCUGUUGGAUCAUGUGAACUCGCACUUCCAUUUGGUACAACAGGUAAUGGUUUUUCCUUCUUUCAAUGUGAAUUCUAUAGACAUAUCAAGAAUUCAAUGUGAACUUGUCUAUGAUAGCAGAGGAAGUACAUUCAGGUAACAAAAGGCGCGAGGCUUAUGCAACAAUCUUGCAUUCAGCUCAUGUAUAUGUUUGUGGAGCCAUAGCAGCAGCACAAAGCAUUAGAAUGGCAGGGUCCACGCGAGACCUUGUGAUUCUCGUUGAUGAUUCGAUGGGUGAGUAUCAUAAGAGUGGACUUGAAGCAGCAGGUUGGCAAGUUAGGACUAUACAAAGAAUAAGAAACCCAAAAGCUGAGAAAGAUGCCUACAACGAGUGGAAUUAUAGCAAAUUCAGACUUUGGCAACUGACUGAUUAUGACAAGAUCAUAUUCAUUGAUGCUGAUCUGCUUAUACUUAGAAACAUCGACAUCUUAUUUAGGAUGCCACAGAUUUCAGCGACAGGUAACAAUGGCACGCUUUUUAACUCCGGAGUCAUGGUUAUCGAGCCAUCAAACUGCACGUUUCAGCUCCUAAUGGAUCACAUAAAUGAGAUUGAGUCCUAUAAUGGAGGCGAUCAAGGUUACCUAAACGAAAUAUUCACGUGGUGGCAUCGGAUACCAAAGCAUAUGAACUUCUAGAAAAACUUCUGGAUUGGCGAUGAUGAAGUAGUGAAAGCAAAGAAAACAAAUCUUUUCGGGGCUGAACCUCCAAUUCUUUAUGUCCUACAUUACCUCGGAUACAAGCCAUGGUUGUGUUUCCGGGACUAUGAUUGCAACUGGAACGUAGACAUCUUACAAGAAUUCGCGAGUGAUGUUGCACAUGACAAGUGGUGGAAAGUGCACGAUGCAAUGCCCGAGCAGUUGCAAGACUUUUGCCUGCUAAGAUCAAAGCAGAAGGCACAAUUGGAAUGGGAUAGAAGGGAAGCGGAGAAGGGAAACUAUGUUGAUGGACAUUGGAAAAUCAAGAUCAAAGAUGGACGACUUAAGAGAUGUACAGACAGGUUAUGCAAUUGGAAGGGUAUGUUAAAGCAUUGGGGGGAGAAGAAUUGGACAGAUGAUCCAUUUUUCCACCCCUCACCACCAACCUUAAAAACCAACAAAACCAAAAUAGCAUCUCUUUCUGGUAUAUAACAAGCAUUUUUUCUUUUUUGGCUUUUUUGCAUUCAAUCUUGUGAUAAGAGGGUAAAGGAUAUGAAGUUGCUUUCAGAAGCAAAGUUAGUCAUUUGAUGAAAUUUUCAGCUUUGAUAUAUACAUAGGUUUUGUGCUAUGUGUUGGACAGUACCUUCAAUUUGUGAGGGACUUUUAUAGCGUUUUCAGAUUUUAUACUUAUGUUUUCUAUGUUUCCACUCAAGUCUUUUUGACAUUUUUAGCACUUUUUUCAAUUUCUCUAUAUUCGUUCCGCUUAUUUUUAUAUAUUAUAGUGAAUUAAUGUUAUAAAAAAUAUAUAGUAUUAUAAUAGUAGAACAUGAGAUUUGGUUUCAAAAUCAAUUAUAGCAAUCAGACAUCAAUUUAGACAAUCUUGUAUGAGUGAUUAAUUAGAAGCAUUAAUCACUUCAGACAAUGUAGAAUUUGGGAAUAAUUGAUACUAUAUAUUAUAUUUUAAGUCUUUAAGAGAGUAUUCAUCCCAAAGUGAUUUAUUUUCAAUUUCAUUAGAACUUUGUCGAUAUUAUUUUUUGAAAAUUCGUCAUAGUUGAGAAUCUUGAAACGUACACUCUGAUGAUUAACACUUUAUGAACCUAAUCCUUCAUCAAAGUUCACACCUCAAAGACUCAAAUUCUUUGUCUUCUUACAAGGCAUUUCUCCUUAGCUUGCAAACACUAGGAUAAUCUUCUUCUUUUUCAUAAAACAAAAGGAUAAUCAUGAAGUAAUUAUUUAAUCCCUUGCAUAUUGGCAGACACAAUAAAUACCUAAACAAUAUAGAUAAAAGUGGAUCUAGGAUUUUAGAUCUAUGAAUUCAGCAUUUAAAAGUUAUGGGUUCAUAUCUACUAUUUAUUGUAAUUUACUGAUUUUUUAUAUAUCAAUUUAUGUUUCCCGUUAAAAGCACCCAGUUCAAUUAAACCCGGUGGCUCUAUACUGCAUCCGCCACUGAAUAUAAAGGGCUAGUUGGAUCCAGAGAAAGAAAAAAUAAACUUCCUAGUUUUUCAUAUUAAAAAAUAUAAAAGAAAAAUUAAUCUAACCACUUAGACGAAAAUAAAUCGAUAGAUAUAUAAUAUACGUGUAUGAGUAAAAUUCAGUUUAGCCCCUUAACCUUUAAGGCUUGGGAAAUUAUACCUCCCUUCAUACUUUGAAUAGAAACGACAAUCCCCUUGUACUAAGAAAACAAUUGGAAAAAAAAUAUUAUCAAUAAAAAUAAAAAUUCAAAAUGAACCCUCUUUUUGGAGGGAAUACUUUUGGCGCUAGAAAAAGUUUCUCGCUGUAUUAAGGUAACUAGCAUAAAUUCCAAUGUUUACUUUUAACUUUUAAGCAAAAACUUUACAUAAAAAUUUGGAAAAAACCUAGAAUCAUCUGAAAACUAGACGAACUUUUCAAGGUAAGUUACCUUUUCACCAUUACAAUAUAAUGUCAUAUAAGUGGUUUUGUGCUUGUGCACAAGUUCCAAAGAUUGUAUAUAUCUUUAUAAUAUAUUCUAAUUAUAAUAUUAUAAUGCAGAUUCUAUGUAUCAGAAGAACGAAAUACAGAUAUUGAAAGGUAUUGCUCAACAGCAAUGGGGGAAUUUUAAUAUUUUACAAAAUCAACUUCUCACUCAAUAUCUAGAGAGCGGAUACUAUGCAUCUCUUUCACUUUUUUAUUUGUCAAGUGGAUAAAGUUUUGUCCGUCCAAUCCAAUAUAUUUUUAAAACUCUUUAAAUUUAUAAAAGUUUCAAGACACGCUAAGUAUAAAAAAAAUUUAAUCUUGCUUAGAGUGCAUAAAAAUUAUACUUUUAUUACGAAUUUAAAUCCUUAUUAUUGACUUUUGAGUUCCUUCUCUAUUUAUAAAUAAUUGCUUGUAAAAUUAUACGGAUUCUAUUUUAAUUAUUAAAAAUAGAUAUAAUUAUUAGUCUAGUCAAAACCAAAAAUAUAACAAAAUAACGCCUAAAGCCCAUAAAGGGCUGUUGAAAAGCAAAAGGAUUAAAGAGUUGAAAGUCUUACGCCUUGGACGAAAGGUUAGGGAAAACCAAAGUAACAGACAACAUGCUCCCAAUCAACACCUCCCAACCAAAACCACCAGAAAACUUAAGCCCUCCUCUAACUUCACCUCCAUCUACUAUCCCCACUUAUAAUCCUGACACGGAUACUAGUAUGAACAUUAACCGCCAGGAUCCAGUAAAAGUUCUUGGCCAAAUCAUAUCUCCAAAUUUUAAACACAAAUAACUCUUCCUUGACACAGCAUAUAUCUCCACAAUGAAGCACUGUGAGUUUGGAGUAUAUAGAUGAACUUGAUACACCAACUGAUCCUUCAAAUUUUACAUCACUAUCU